rnacentral:tRNA from 1 species
GCUUUUGGUUCAAUGGUAGAAUGCUCGCCUGCCACGCGGGGGCCCCGGGUUCGAUUCCCGGCCGAUGCA